CCAAAUGUCAUUCUUCCUCCUAACCUAAAUCCGCCGCCGCCGCCGCCGCUCGAGCUCUCUCUCGCCGUCCAGCUACGUGCUCUUCGGCCGGCGAGGCUGUGACCUCCUCUCCCGCUCGUUCCCCAGCGUCUCCACCGUCGACCCCACACCAUCCUGUCACGGCCACGCGCUGAAGUUCUGUUCCUCGGUGAGUGCUCUCUCCGGUCAGCCUGCGCGCGUAAGCUUCCAGCGAGGCUGCCGCCGCCCUGCCUGGCCCGUCCUCCCCCUUCUCCACCACGGUAUCCACCAUGGCCGUUGGACUACAGAAGAGAUCUUGGCGGCGGCGAGAGAGGGCUCGGGAUAGGGUUAAUGAGGGGCUUGAUAUAGAGAGAAGAAAAGAGGUCCUCGGCUCCUUCCCCUUCGGCCUUCCCCAGCCGGAUCUGCUCCCCUUCGGCCUUCCCAAGCCGGAUCUGCUCCCCUUCAUCCACCCUGACUCCCCGAGCUCCUCCCUCAGGAAUGUCUGAAGAGAGUUAUCCCCUAUGGGCACAUGGACAUUGCAUAAUCAGUCUUAUCAUGGGAAUAAUUUGCCUGCCUAAAGAAGGCGAAGCAAUCAGCCAAGCAAUGAAACUGGAGUCCAGUAAAGAGAAAUCUUCCAGUGACAAUCAAGAGUUGAAUCGUAGACAUUCCAAAGGAGACAAGUCAUCCAACCAUCCAGCAGAAGUGUAGACAGUUUAAAGAAACCAGCACUUGAUUCGGGCAAUAAUAGCGCAUCAGUUUCAUCUAGUUCUAUACAUAAGGUACCGCCUCAUCGACCAAGGAUCUACGGCGACGGUGGCACCAGCGACCCCAUGGAGGCGGCACCGAAACCCUAGCCGCUACUGCUCUCCACUGAGUCCCCUCCUCAUCUCCUCCCUCGUGCGAUGCUCUGCUUCAUCUUUUCUCAAACCUCCACCAGUCAAAUUCGGCCGGGAAAAAGAAACACCUACAUACAUAUCAUCGGAUGUUCAAGCUGGAGGAUAGUGGCGAUGGAAUAUGGAUCAAUGAGAUGAAGAAAGGUGUUGAUGUCAAGUACGAGAAUGAUGGAAGGAUCUUGUGGUUAUCUAGUUGCCCACCAGCAGUAGUCAAUGUAGAUGAUGUGCCUCUAGGGCAAAUUCUAGAAACCAAAGCGACCCAUUUUUGCUCUCAAACAGUGAACAUGUUUUGUUCCCUAUUUAAUAAGUUAAAUUAUUUUAUGGGAAAUUUCGAUGUGAAAAUUA